GAUGAACGCUGGCGGCGUGCCUAAUACAUGCAAGUCGAGCGAACAGACGAGGAGCUUGCUCCUCUGACGUUAGCGGCGGACGGGUGAGUAACACGUGGAUAACCUACCUAUAAGACUGGGAUAACUUCGGGAAACCGGAGCUAAUACCGGAUAAUAUAUUGAACCGCAUGGUUCAAUAGUGAAAGACGGUUUUGCUGUCACUUAUAGAUGGAUCCGCGCCGCAUUAGCUAGUUGGUAAGGUAACGGCUUACCAAGGCGACGAUGCGUAGCCGACCUGAGAGGGUGAUCGGCCACACUGGAACUGAGACACGGUCCAGACUCCUACGGGAGGCAGCAGUAGGGAAUCUUCCGCAAAGGGCGAAAGCCUGACGGAGCAACGCCGCGUGAGUGAUGAAGGUCUUCUGAUCGUAAAACUCUGUUAUUAGGGAAGAACAAAUGUGUAAGUAACUAUGCACGUCUUGACGGUACCUAAUCAGAAAGCCACGGCUAACUACGUG
rnacentral:rRNA from 1 species